rnacentral:lncRNA from 1 species
AUGUUGAUGUCUUUUAUUAAUUUAGAGUUGAAUUUUCUUCAGUGUGAGAAAUAAGGAUCAAGUUCAUUAUAACCCCCAUUAAAUUCUAGCAUAAUUCUUCAUAGAAAUGGGAAAGAAUGAUAAAUUAAAUAUGGAAAUCCAAAAGACCCAACGUAGUCAGAACAGUUCUGAGGAAUUAAAGCAAAAUCUGCUGGAAGUUCUGCCAUCCUUCAUUUCAAGUUAUAAUUCAGAAUUUAGUAGUAAAGUCAGUGUGGUUCCAUCAGGAAACUGGAUAGCUACGACUGAAGCUGGGUCCUUGUUGCUCACCCUGCCUGCGUAGCAUUGUUACAUCUUUGAGUUUGGAUUGCUUCAUGCUCAGGUCUUAUUUCUACAUGCUAAUCUCUCGGCAUUUUUGAAAUUGUACUAUAAAGUAGAAAUAAUCUUGAUACUGUGUUUGAAGUUUGGCCCUUUUGCUUAGUAGAUUUUUUUAAAAAAUGUGUCUACAAUGUCCAAGAUCUCUAAUUUACAAUGGUAGGUAGCAUCUAUUACCCAUUGUCUGUGUUGUAAAUCAGAGCUGACUUGAAUUACCCAAGUCUUGUAAUUCUUCCACACUGGGUGAGGGAUCUUCAGCAAGACCAUGUUAUUUCUGUCUUCUCACAGUUUAAAGAUAAGAAAAUGAAUCAAAAAAGAAAAA